GUCUUUUAGAUUAUAAUUUAAAGUCUGGCCUGCCCUAUGAAAAUUAAAUGGCCGCAGUAUUUUGACUGUGCAAAGGUAGCAUAAUAAUUAGUUUUUUAAUUGAAAGCUGGAAUGAAAGGUUUAACGAAAAAAUAUCUGUCUCAAUUUAAUUUAAUUAGAAUUUUAUUUUUUAGUAAAAAAGCUAAAAUAAUUUUUAAAGACGAGAAGACCCUAUAGAGUUUUAUAUUUUAAUUUUAUAUAUUUUAUAGAAUUUUUUUAUAAUUUUAAAUAUUUUAUUGGGGUGAUAAAUAAAUUUAAGUAACUUUAUUGAUUUCUUACAUUAAUAUAUGAUAAAUUGAUCCAUAAAAAUGAUUAAAGAUUAAAUUACCUUAGGGAUAACAGCGUUAUUUUUUUUUAGAGUUCUUAUCGAAAAAAAAGAUUGCGACCUCGAUGUUGGAUUAAAAUUUAUUUAUGGUGUAGAAGCUAUAUUAUUGGGUCUGUUCGACCUUUAAAAUUUUACAUGAUCUGAGUUUAAACCGGUGUGAGCCAGGUUGGUUUCUAUCUUAAAAUAAAUAAAAUAUUUUAGUACGAAAGGACCAAAUAUUUAUAAAAUUUAUUAAAUUUUGAAUAC
rnacentral:rRNA from 1 species